rnacentral:rRNA from 1 species
CCUACGGGAGGCAGCAGUGGGGAAUAUUGCACAAUGGGGGAAACCCUGAUGCAGCGACGCCGCGUGAGUGAAGAAGCGCCUCGGCGCGUAAAGCUCUGUCAGCAGGAACGACGAUGACGGUACCUGAAGAAGAAGCCCCGGCUAACUACGUGCCAGCAGCCGCGGUAAUACGUAGGGGGCACGCGUUAUCCGGAUUUACUGGGUGUAAAGGGAGCGUAGACGGCGGGGCAAGUCUGGAGUGAAAGGCCGGGGCCCAACCCCGGGACCGCUCUGGAAACUGCCCGGCUGGAGUGCGGGAGAGGUAAGCGGAAUUCCUAGUGUAGCGGUGAAAUGCGUAGAUAUUAGGAGGAACCCCGAUUGCGAAGGCAGCUUGCUGCAGCGGAACUGACGCUGAUGCUCGAAAGCGCGGGUAUCGAACAGGAUUAGAUACCCUUGUAGUC